rnacentral:rRNA from 1 species
UGGGGAAUAUUGCACAAUGGGCGCAAGCCUGAUGCAGCGACGCCGCGUGGGGGAUGACGGCCUUCGGGUUGUAAACUCCUUUCGCUAGGGACGAAGCUUUUUGUGACGGUACCUAGAUAAGAAGCACCGGCUAACUACGUGCCAGCAGCCGCGGUAAUACGUAGGGUGCGAGCGUUGUCCGGAAUUACUGGGCGUAAAGGGCUCGUAGGUGGUUUGUCGCGUCGUCUGUGAAAUUCCGGGGCUUAACUCCGGGCGUGCAGGCGAUACGGGCAUAACUUGAGUACUGUAAGGGUAACUGGAAUUCCUGGUGUAGCGGUGAAAUGCGCAGAUAUCAGGAGGAACACCGAUGGCGAAGGCAGGUUACUGGGCAGUUACUGACGCUGAGGAGCGAAAGCAUGGGUAGCGAACAGG